rnacentral:rRNA from 1 species
UACGUAGGGUGCGAGCGUUGUCCGGAAUUACUGGGCGUAAAGAGCUCGUAGGUGGUUUGAUAAGGGUGUGGUGAAAGUCCGGAGCUCAACUCCGGAUCUGCCGUGCCGACUGUCAAACUCGAGGGCUGUAGAGGCAGACGGAAUUCCGGGUGUAGCGGUGGAAUGCGUAGAGAUCCGGAGGAAGACCGGUGGCGAAGGCGGUCUGCUGGGCAGUUUCUGACACUGAGGCGCGACAGCGUGGGGGAGCAAACAGG